rnacentral:rRNA from 1 species
UGCCAUAUCAAUAAGCGGAGGAAAAGAAACCAACAGGGAUUGCCUUAGUAACGGCGAGUGAAGCGGCAAAAGCUCAAAUUUGAAAUCUGGCACCUUCGGUGUCCGAGUUGUAAUUUGAAGAAGGUAACUUUGGAGUUGGCUCUUGUCUAUGUUCCUUGGAACAGGACGUCACAGAGGGUGAGAAUCCCGUGCGAUGAGAUGCCCAAUUCUAUGUAAAGUGCUUUCGAAGAGUCGAGUUGUUUGGGAAUAA